GGCCUCAAAUCAGACAAAGAGUACCCCGCUGAACUUAAGCAUAUCAAUAAGCGGAGGAAAAGAAACUAACAAGGAUUCCCCUAGUAACGGCGAGUGAAGCGGGAACAGCUCAAAUUUUAAAUCUGGCUGCUUUGUAGUCCGAGUUGUAAUUUGAAGGAGUCUUGCCGCUGGCAAAACGAUGGCACAAGUCCUCUGGAACGGGGCAUCGUAGAGGGUGAGAAUCCCGUCUCUGGUCAUCACGCGCUGGCAUACGGCAGGCAUCCGAAGAGUCGAGUUGUUUGGGAUUGCAGCUCCAAAUGAGUGGUAAACUCCAUCUAAGGCUAAAUAUUGGCGAGAGACCGAUAGCGAACAAGUACCGUGAGGGAAAGAUGAAAAGAACUUGAAAAGAGAGUAAAACAGUACGUGAAAUUGUUGAAAGGGAAACGAUUGAAG
rnacentral:rRNA from 1 species